GGCCUAAUAGUGUAAUCGUCGCACGCAUCCUUCGGGUGGAUGUAGUCUGGGUUCAAUUCCCAGUUGGGCCC